rnacentral:rRNA from 1 species
AUGGCUCGUGCUGGUGUUCCCGUUCCUCCCGUUCCCGAUCCCGCCCAGUGCCAUCAUCCAAGUCUGGCUGCGCUUGCCGAGAGGGCUCGGCUUAUCCGCGGGACCGGUCCUGUGGAUGGAGCUGCUGUGGACUGGGUCUGCAACAACACCGCCGAGCAUAACGGUGGGGGCAAUGUGACGAAUCGCCCGAUCGACAACUUCCUACUGAAGUUGCCUGCUUUGUACUGCUCGGGAUGCAGAAAGCUGAACCCAGUAGGCUAUCGGUGGAAAAUUACGCAGUGCACCCUGGGAAGAAUCGGGCUUGAUUUCCUGAUUCGCAAUCAAGGCCCGCACAAUACGUGCGUGGCCCAUGCAAUUCUUUCCGGCAUGGAUCUCAUGUACAAGAUCCACACAGCAUAUCAGUCGCGAGCUUUUGUUGGCCGUCCCUUGAGUAUGCAAGAUUUCUUCAUGAAGUUUUCACACUUCUUCAAGGUAUCCUUUGGGUACGAGAGAAACCCUGCCUUGGAGAUUGACAGAGCGCUUUGUGUCAUCUAUAUAGCACAACAAUAUGGUGUGAGGCUGAGUGCCCCGUCCCUUACCACCUGGUUCGAGUGGCAACAGGAAUCAAAUGACAAAGUGAUGAUGGGCUCUUUCUUUCAUGUACCUUCAAACGACACGGAGCUCAUCAUCAGGUUAAUAGCCGGUGGAUACCCUCUCAUCUGUGGCGUGCCUAGUGGGAGGACGUUCAAAUUCACGAGUGCAGACGAGAUCUACGAUGGGGGCAGAGUUCCCACUAAUCAUUGUGUCCUCUUGAUAGGAUCGGGGGUGUUUAACUACCCUGGCAAUCCAGACGCGAUCCCUAGGCACACAUUGGGCACAUGGCCUUUGAACCGUGAUGGUAGACGGGGACCUCGUGUUUGCCUAGGAGCAAGGGGUUCAUGGGGGAGCCAAGUUCAUGGAAGUUCCUCUCAGGAAGGUGGAGGCGGAGAUUUCUAUAUCUGGGCUGACCAGAUCGAUAGAGUGAUGGGGUUCCACAUUGAAGGCAUGUACUAG